GUGUAAGCAUGGCAACAUGUUGAGCUUACCAGUACUAAUAGGUCGUGAGGCUUAGCCAC
rnacentral:rRNA from 1 species